GGGGAAUUUUGGACAAUGGGGGCAACCCUGAUCCAGCCAUUCCGCGUGAGUGAAGAAGGCCUUCGGGUUGUAAAGCUCUUUUGUCCGGAGCGAAACGGUACGGGUGAAUAUCCCGUGCUACUGACGGUACCGGAAGAAUAAGCACCGGCUAACUACGUGCCAGCAGCCGCGGUAAUACGUAGGGUGCGAGCGUUAAUCGGAAUUACUGGGCGUAAAGCGUGCGCAGGCGGUUGUGUAAGCCAGAUGUGAAAUCCCCGGGCUUAACCUGGGAAUGGCAUUUGGGACUGCACGGCUUGAGUGUGGCAGAGGGGACUAGAAUUCCUGGUGUAGCAGUGAAAUGCGUAGAUAUCAGGAGGAAUACCGAUGGCGAAGGCAGGUCCCUGGGUUAACACUGACGCUCAUGCACGAAAGCGUGGGGAGCAAAC
rnacentral:rRNA from 1 species